AAAGCAGAUAAUCCACAUUAUCUGCUUUGAACUGGAUUAUAUGAGUCUACACUGCCAUAUAAUGCAGUUCAAAGCAGAUAAUCUGGAUGUUAUAUGGUAGUGUAAAAGAGGCCAAUGAUAUCUGACCCUGGCCCUGCUGCUGGUGAUUGUGAUGCAACAGUGAUGCUGCUCCUUCUCUGAUGCCUUCGUGGUUCCCGUGGAGAUGAGUCAAGCCAAGGAGAGAGAGGCAGGCAGAGGAGUCCCAUGGAAACAGCUAAGUCCCUCUGAUGGGAAACUGAGGCAACAAAAUAGUCCUCCUACUCACAGCAGUCAAAGAAUUAUAUAAAUAGUAUAUGGGAUAAAAGAAAAUUGCAAAAAAAGAGAUUAUGGUAAGGCUGGCAGUUGAGAUGAGUUCAAGAACAAAGUUGCACAGUUUGAAAUUUACUGGAAGAUGGGAAUCCAGAAGAUGAGGUGGGUAUGUCAGCAUUUCCAGUUGCCAACAUAUUUCCCUAACUUGGCUUACUUUUUGGCUGAAAACAUAUAAGAUUUCCAGCUUCUCACAAGUUUCAAGAAACGACAAAUAUGAAAAAAAAAUCUGAUCUAAGGUUGGCUUUGGGAAAGUAAAGUACCUCUCCAGUGAUCUUUGCCAACAUGUCGGUAGGUUUCUAUGGGGUACGUUUUUAAAUGGAUGUUUAAAAUUUUAUUAACUAACUGUACUUAUGACACAAAAAAUAAUAAGAGAGACUGAGAUAGAUAGAUAGAUAGAUAGAUAGAUAGAUAGAUAGAUAGAUAGAUAGAUAGAUAGAUAGAUAGAUAGAUAGAGAUGAUUGAUUUCAGGCUGCUGACAAUCUUCAAAAAGCAGGAAAUAUGUGACAAAAAUCUUGCUUCAGGAAAAAUAAAAAUCUCUUCAGCAAACUUUACCAUGGUAAGUCUCCAUGAAGUAAGUUUCUUAAAUGGAAAGUUCAUAUCUCAAUAAAUGCUCAGUGGCUAAAGAUUUAUUUUUUUAAUUCUGUACUUGUAUAUAACUUUUUUUUUACCUAAAUGAGAGUUUUCCUAUUUUAAAAGAACUGCAAAUCCACCUGUUUUGCAUAGGGAAUAUCUAAACAAUCUUCAAAAAGCAGGAAAUAUGUGACAAAAAUCUGAUAUAAGACUUGCUUUAGGAAAAAUAAAAACCUCUCCAGCAAACUUCACUAAUAUGUUGGUAAGUCCCCAUGAAGUAACUUUCUAAAUUGGGAAAAAAUCAUCUCAACAAAUUCUCAGUGGUUAAAGGUUUGUUUUUAUCACUUUGUACUUGUAUAUAACUUCUUCUUUUUUUAACCUAAAUGACAGUUAUCCUAUUUUAAAAGAACUGCAAAUCUACCCGUGUUGCGUAGGAAAUAUCUAAACAAGUAUAAUCUGAAUUGAAACAAAACAAUCUUGCAUUUGAAAUAUUUGAAAUAUUUCAAUAUUUCAUGGUGACCAAAGUCUAUGUUUUUCUUUUCCUGGAUUACUAACUACAGCAGUUGACCAUUCUGAAGGAGACUUUUAUCUAGACUUUAAAGAAACUAUAUAAUCUUCCAGCUGUUUUUGUUUAAAAGAAGGCUCCUUUUCCAAAAUUGAAAUAUAUUGUCAAAGUUUUACAUAUCUUUCUGUCAUAUGCAUUAGAAUUUUUGUUGUUUCCAUAUUAUCUAGUUCAUUGUGUAAAAUAUAAUGUAACAGGUUGACACUUUAAAUAUGAAAUCCCCAUCUUGGAAUUUUCUUUUCUUGCAGGAAAAUUGUGAAGGGUUCCCAGUUUUCUUGAAUACUGAAGGGUCUUUCAUCUAAAAAUAUCUUGUCAAAAUAUUAAUUUGCUCUAUUUCACCUACUUUUACUAUCCAUUCUUCCAUUUUUGGUGUUAAUUAUAGUUUCCACAUCUGUACACACACAAUUCUUACUGUAGUUGUCAUCAAAAAGAAAAGUGUGUCAAAUGUCUUCAAAAGUGAUCUAUCUGUCAUGCCUCUGGAUGCGUGGGUAUUUUUAGAUGAAGUAUUUCAGUAUUUUAUGGUGACCAGUCUUUGUCUGACUUUCUCAUUAGUGCAUUUCUACAUUUUGAAGGAGAUUAGAAGAAAUCAAUCCAAGAGUUGAAGUAAGCACUUUGUUAAUUCCAAUUGCUAAAGACUCCUCUCCAUUUGUCUUCCUCACGAGAGGGCUAUACAUUUUAGCACCAGUCGCAAUUUCUUUUCUUUCAUAGACUUCUAUAGAGCCCAUCUUUUUAUAAAAUGCAGCCAUGGUCCUAUUCCUUUUUGCUCCUCCCAAUAUGAAUUUCACCUUGUUCUUUAAAAACCCUCGUGAUUUAGGGGAUGAUAGUUCUGAAAUUAAUCAAAAAGAGAGAAAUGGAACAAAUGUCACAGGCAAAUAUGAUAAACAUGAAGGUAUGUCCUCAGUGGUAUCCUUUACUGCAAUUGAAGAAAAAAUUGCAAUUGAAAUAUGUGCACUUUACAAACAAAAGAUAUGGUCAAGAUGGCAAUUCAGAGGUAAGAAACAACCUUUAGUUUUUAACAGAUUUGUGUCCAGAAGAAAGGAAUCCAGCAGAUAAGGUAAGAAUGUCAAGAUUUUAGGCUACCAAAGUCUAUCCUAACUUUGUCUAGAUUUUUGUCCUGGAAAAGUAUGAGAUUCCAUGGUUUUGACCAUGAUGAAGCAUGAAGCAAACCAUGAUCAAACAUGCAACAAAAGAACAACUUCAGGAAGAUAAGAAUCUUUCCAGUGACCUUACAAACUUGUUGGUAAGUCUUUAUGAGGUAUGUUUCUUAGAGAGAGAAAUGCACAUCUUGGAAAAUGCUUUCCUUUAGUCCAUUGAACAGUAUUUCAGGAUAUUCGGUUGCCCAAGUCUUUUCCUAACUUUGUCUAGAUAUUUCACUGGGAAAAUAUGAGAUUUCAGGCAUCUGACAACCUUCAAGAAGCAGCAAACGUAACACAAGUCUAAGGGAAAGAACAAGACUUGCUUCAGGAAGGUAUUAAGCUCCUUUGGGGAACUUAACAAACAUAUUGGUAAGUCUCCAUGAGGUAAGUUUCUCAAUUGAAAGAAUUCACACCCAAGAAAAUACUCAAGUGGCUAAAGAUUUAUUUUACCACUUUGUACUUGGAUAUAACCUCUUUGUAGACAUGAAAGUGAGCUUUCCUAUUUUGAAAGAACUGCAAAUCAAUCCUGUUGUGUCUAAUAAAAGCAUCUGGAAAAAAGAUGAAAUAUUGCCAAAAUUUACAGUGACUAAAGUCUCUGCCUUACAUUCCUCAGCUUUCUAUGGAGAAAGGAAUCAAAGAACUUAGGUAAGAAAUUCAUUAUCCCCACUACCUAAAGGUUGCCAUUUAUUUUAUUGUCUGGCUCCCUCCUUAAUAUUUUUUUUCAUCUUUGAUUGCGGUGGUUAAAAUGAUUUCUCCAUCCAGAGUGCAAACAAACUGGGAAAAGGAGGAUGUUGAGAGAGUAGAUGUGGAGGUAUACUUUGGGAGUUGGCUGGACAAGGUUGUAUUCUAUACAGACAUUUUUAGCAUACAUGCAAUAAUUCGUUUACUGAAAAGAAAAAAAUGGCAAUUGUUCCUAUUUUUCUAGAAAGGUUCAGAAGCAACUAUGUUGUUUAACAUUUGUUUGCUAUGUUACUGACUUCCUUCCAGGUAUGCAAGAGAUUUUAGAAAUUCUUAAAUGUUAUUUUAGUUACCAAAUUAAUUCAAGAAGACAGACAUCACCAAUGUGAUGGUAAGUCCUGAAAUGUUAUCCUUUACUGUAGGGAACGAUCUGUGAUAUUUUUCCUUGCUGGCUCACUGGAUGGGUGAGUGUGACGGUUCCUUGAUGCUUUGGUGACUUUUUGUUUUGCAGUUUUGGAAGGGAUUGUCCAAUGCAAAAAGCUCUGUAGAUCAUUCAUUGUUGUAAGAUAGGUAACAAAGAUCAUAACAUUGAUAGUUUGGCAAGAUCAAAAAAGCAAGGCGUAACACAAACUCCAGUGAGGUGAGAAACAUUUCUCUUAUAAAUGCUGUUUUUUCAAACAUAUUUGUGUUGAUUGCCAAAGACCAACAAUUUUAUCACCUUUUCUCCAUCCUUCUUUUGGUCUAGCAGGGGAUAUGGACUUAUACUUUAAGUGUCUUUAUUCUGUCCAUUUAGAUAUUGAUUAAUUUAUUUUCCAUUGAGCGGGCUGAAAAGGAAUGUUGAAAAUGAAAAAAACUGUGUGUGAACUUCACUUUAGGAACUGUCUAGAAUAUCUUCAAAAAUCCUAUUUGCUGACAGGGAGACACUGGGAUCAUAUGAUGGGUAAGAAAGCAAUACCUCUUGUGAAUCAGACUGUUGGUAUCCUUUACUGGCUUCCUUGGUAGUUGUUUUUUUUCCCUUGCUGUUUCCUUUGAUGGUUUGACAAUGAAUUCAUAUUUAGUUAUUUCUUUGCAGAUACCAAACUGUUGUUAUCAUUUACUGGAGCGAAAGGUUCGUAAUCGUUUUUUCCCUUGCUGGCUCACUAAAAACGUCAUGAUGAUGGUUUGACAAUUUGUUGUAGAAGGCUCUCAUGGCCAGAAUCACUGGGUUGCUGUGAGUUUUCCAGGCCAUGAAGCAUCAGGAGACUAUGCUCUGGAAUAUGGCCAUACAGCCCAGAAAACUCAUAGCAACCCAGUUUGACAAUUAUUUCAUAUUUAGUUACUUCUUUGCAGAUUUGGAAGGGAUUGCCUAAUGCAAAAGGAUCAGCAUUUGACCCAUUAUUUGAAAAUAGGUGACAAAAAGAAUUGCACUAAUACUUUGCCAAGAAAGCAAGACACAUAACAAAGAUAUUAGUCAGGUAAGAAGUGUUGCUGUUUGUAUCUUUCCUUCUUCAAGGAGAACAAGGUGAAAAACAUCACCAAUUUGUGUUGAUUCCCAAAGGCCAAUUAUUAUAUCAUUUUUCUGGAAGUCUUUUCAAAGGAAUGUUAUUGGGACAUUAAUUUAUUUUCUUUUAAGCAGAUUCAAGGUGGUUUUUCAGAGUUAAAAGAGAGAUGUGUGACCUUUCCUUUUGGCAUCGCCUAGAAAAUCUUCAGAAUUCUAAUUUAUGGAUAGAGAAAGGCAGUCUCCAACUUAUAAAAAAAAGUAUAAUUGGAAACAAGGAAACCUAGUAUGCAUCUAGAUGGAUGUGGAAAAUGACAUGAGCAUGGAAGAGCUGCAUUAAUAGGGAAUGUAUAUUUGCCAUUCAGGUGGCCAAUGUUUUUUCUUGUAGAGGAGAGCCACGGCGCUUGCAGGGUGGCCUUUGGACUACCGCACAACAACGGGGAGAGAGGGAUGGUGGGGAUGGGGCGCUUGCGUAUGGCUCUUGCUCGUGGGAUGCCCAGGGCUAGUGGUGCUGAUCGCCGUUUUGGGGUCGGGAAGGAAUUUUCCUCCAGGGCAGAUUGGCCGGAGACCCUGGAGGUUUUUCGCCUUCCCCUGGGCAUUGAGCAGGAGUCACCAGCCAUGUCAGAUGGUACAUUCUGGCCAAUUAAAAAAGCAUCUUAAAAUAAAUAUAUUAAUGAAAA